AAAUAAACUGUGAAGCUCAAAGAUGUUUGAAUUUCUUACUUUCCAAGGGCUGAGCACAUUGGCUUGGGUGUCUCUCCCUUCACCCCGGCACCCAGAGGAAAGGCACUGUCUGGUGGUGACAAGGAAGGAUCAGUUUCUCGGUGGCAAUCUGGGGUCGUGCUUGGCUUCACAGCGCGGGACUGUGGGAUAGUCACACAGAAAGCAGAAGCUUGUGGGUUCUAAUCUCAGUUCCCCCACUGGCGUCUGAGUGCCUUUAGGGCAUUUUGUACAAGAACCAAGAUUUCAAGAACUUUUGCAAAUGUGGAUUAACUGGAAAUGUUUCACAACCUAUCUACACGUGAUGUCAGCGAAAAUUUAAGGAACAAGCAGAGUGAUGCUGGGACAAGGAGCAGAGUGGGAGGUCCCUACCUCUGUCAUCACAUCCAGGGGUAGGCCAAGGCAUUGGCAGGAUCUCCAGCAAUAUCCUCAUAACAAUUACUUUAGGUGGAAUUUGGAUUUUAGAAACAUUAGCUAGUUACUCGGGUGAGGUGAGCACGCUGUCACUCCGGGGGCUGGGUUAAUUGCAUUGCAAAUAAACAAACGCUUAAAGAUGA